rnacentral:rRNA from 1 species
AGAAUCAACGCUGGCGGCGUGCCUCAGACAUGCAAGUCGAACGCGAAAGUCCCCUUCGGGGACAAGUAGAGUGGCGCACGGGUGAGUAACACGUAGGUAAUCUACCUUCGGAUGGGGAAUAACAACCGGAAACGGUUGCUAAUACCGCAUAAUGCAGCGGCACCUAAUGGUGACAGUUGUUAAAGCGGGGGAUCGAAAGACCUCGCGUCUGAAGAGGAGCCUGCGGCGGAUUAGCUAGUUGGUCAGGUAAUGGCUUACCAAGGCUACGAUCC